AACGAACGCUGGCGGCGCGUCUUAAGCAUGCCAGUCGAACGGCAAGAGAGGAGCUUGCUUCUCUCCUAGAGUGGCGGACUGGUGAGGAACACGUGGGUAAUCUACCCUUAAGAUGGGGAUAGCUGCUAGAAAUAGCAGGUAAUACCGAAUACACUCGGCAUAUCACAAGAGGUGUUGAGGAAAGGAAGCUACGGCUUCGCUUGAGGAUGAGCUUGCGUCCCAUUAGCUAGUUGGUGAGGUAAAGGCCCACCAAGGCGACGAUGGGUAUCCGGCCUGAGAGGGUGAACGGACACAUUGGGACUGAGAUACGGCCCAAACUCCUACGGGAGGCAGCAGCUAAGAAUAUUCCGCAAUGGACGGAAGUCUGACGGAGCGACGCCGCGUGGAUGAAGAAGGCUGAAAAGUUGUAAAAUCCUUUUGUUGAUGAAGAAUAAGGGUGAGAGGGAAUGCUCAUCUGAUGACGGUAAUCGACGAAUAAGCCCCGGCUAAUUACGUG
rnacentral:rRNA from 1 species